rnacentral:rRNA from 1 species
UACAGAGGGUGCGAGCGUUAAUCGGAAUUACUGGGCGUAAAGGGCGCGUAGGCGGUGAAAUAAGUUAGAUGUGAAAUCCCUGGGCUUAACCUAGGAACUGCAUUUAAAACUGUUUCGCUGGAGUGCAGUAGAGGGUAGUGGAAUUUCCGGUGUAGCGGUGAAAUGCGUAGAUAUCGGAAGGAACACCAGUGGCGAAGGCGGCUACCUGGACUGACACUGACGCUGAGGCGCGAAAGCGUGGGGAGCAAACAGG